rnacentral:misc_RNA from 1 species
AGACAAGGGGCUGCAAUAAGGAAUAAUUAUGCUUUGGUCUUUGACAAACCAUUUCCUCAAAAACCUCUGGCUGUCAAUUAGAAAUUUUGAAUUUGAACAGAGUAACUUCUCACUUAUAAUUAUUUUCUUUGUUUAUGCUUAUAUGAAUAAAAGAUAUGGUCAUAUACAAUUUCAAAGUAAUUUACUUGAUUACACAUACAAUUUCAAAGUAAUUUACAAGUUUAGCUGCAGAGUAUAAUGUGUUUUUAAUUUGUUUUAUCCAGUUAUUGAAAUGAUUGUUAACCUGAACUAUUCUCAACUUUUGGUAUUUCCUGCCUUAGUUCAGUUAGCCUGCUGGUACAACAACUAGCACGUUUUCUGAAACAUUUUUACAAACCAUUUUGUGCUAAGGACAAAUGCCUUGGGAAGAAAAACUACA